rnacentral:rRNA from 1 species
UCAGAUGGGGAUAGCUAUUAGAAAUAGUAGAUAAUACCGAAUACGAGCGACAGGGGUUAGAGAUCUGUGGGGAAAGGAGCUAAGGCUCCGCUGAAGGAAUGGCCUGCGGCCCAUUAGCUAGUUGGUGAGGUAAGACGCCCACCCAAGGCGAUGAUGGGUAUCCGGCCUUAGAGGGUGAACGGACACAUUGGGACUGAGAUACGGCCCAGACUCCUACGGGAGGCAGCAGCUAAGAAUAUUCCGCAAUGGACGAAAGUCUGACGGAGCGACGCCGCGUGGGAAUGAAGAAGGCCGGAAGGUUGUAAAAUCCUUUUGAAACUGAAGAAUAAGCGUUGUAGGGAAUGACAGCGUGGUGACAGUAGGUUUUGAAUAAGCAACGGCUAAUUACGUGCCAGCCGCGGC